rnacentral:rRNA from 14 species
AUGGUUGAACCCACCCUGAUAGCAUCUGGUCUUGGAAGCUAAGCAGGGUCAGGCUGGUUAAUAUUUGGAUAGGAGGUAUGUAGGAUGUAGGUAGGCUUAAACUGUA